rnacentral:lncRNA from 1 species
CUUUCUGUUUUAGUCUCCACUGACACUGCAGUGGAGGUGGCCUUAUUACCACUGCGAGAUAAUAAAAGUCAUGAAAUUUCACCAGGCCUCCUCUGAUGCCACCCCAGAAGUUAAGUGGAAAGUUGCCCCAUUAUCUAUUGAGUCAGAGAAGAAAUCCAGACUCCCCAAGGGGUCUCCACUGAUACCACAGGGGUCAGAGACUUCAGGUUUCCAUCAGCGGUUCCUCUUCCAGGACUCAGGAAACUAGGCUCCCACAGAAUUGCCCAUCCUUGGUCUCUCUGCAUCUUUUGGAUGGAAGUGGACAGCACACAUAAGACAAGGUGUCCAAAUGGGAGAAACCAAUUGCUGAUGGUAUUUAGCUAAAUGACUGUGUAAGAAUCACCUGUGGAAGGUAUAUUCCCACUCACUGUGUGGCCAACUCUUCUUAGUACCAAGUGCAGUCUCUAUCAAGCAAAUCAAGCAGAAGGGCCAGCUUGGGAGGGGACAGGCUAAAGGAAACCCAUGAAGCAUUGAAUCUGAGCUCAAUUUCAAUGAGAACCAUUCCUGAACAGUGGAAAGACCAGAGACAUCAGAACCAUCUUUCCCACUUCCAUUAAGCCAAGGCAUUUGGUCUUAUCACCAGGACAUGUAGCUUUUUGGCCAUGUUGAAGAAUCUCUGUGGAAAGAAUUCAGCUGCUCCUACCUACAGCCAGAAUCUGGUGAUUUAGAAGAGAAGAUUGAACAACCAAGAUGAAAACCCCUGCUUCCUUUACCUGAGGUGUGGCCCUGAUGGAGUAAACGCGAAAUUAUUUUCUACAAAAAUUACUUAAUAUUGGCAUCCUCCACUCAUGCCUGUAAAAUAAAGUUGCGCUCCUUUGGUGAAAGACAGUGUGUGUUCAUCAGUAAAGUUGUGAUACACAUGAGAGCAGUUUCAGCAAAUUAUUCAACAGGCUCUCCUGCUGUAAAAUCAAGAAUAGAACUAGACAGGAUCCAAACCAUAAUGGAGUCCAUGGGGUCAAAGUUAUCUCCUGGAGCUCAGCAAUUGAUUAAUAUGGUUAGGUUUCAGCAGUGGAAUUGUAUUCCUAUUGAAGAGCAGCUUCAGUUGGUGUUGGGCAAUGCUGGAUACAAGCAAAUGACUGGACUACAAUGCUCAUCUGCCUUAGGAGCCUUAGACAAGUCAUCCUCCACACCUUUCCCUUUUAGAACUGGAUUGACAUCUGGAAACGUGACUGAAAACUUACAAGCGUACAUUGAUAAAAGCACACAGGCAUCUAGUGGAGAGAAUUCUACAAAGCUUGAUGAGUGUAAAAUUGUGCCACAAAACCAUUCCCUUCUUGAAAAUGAUCUUAAAAAUGCAACAUCCCCUUUCUUACCAAAGAAAGCAAAUGACAACUCAAAUAUACCUAACUCUGA